GGCGACGUGGCCGAGUGGCUAGGCAGAGGUCUGCAAAACCUCCUACGGCGGUUCGAGUCCGCCCGUCGCCU
rnacentral:tRNA from 1 species